CCUACGGGUGGCUUCAGUGGGGAAUAUUGGACAAUGGGCGAAAGCCUGAUCCAGCCAUGCCGCGUGUGUGAAGAAGGCCUUCGGGUUGUAAAGCACUUUCAGUGGGGAAGAAAGCCUUGGGGCUAAUACCCUCGAGGAAGGACAUCACCCACAGAAGAAGCACCGGCUAACUCCGUGCCAGCAGCCGCGGUAAUACGGAGGGUGCGAGCGUUAAUCGGAAUUACUGGGCGUAAAGCGCGCGUAGGCGGUCUGAUAAGCCGGUUGUGAAAGCCCCGGGCUCAACCUGGGAACGGCAUCCGGAACUGUCAGGCUAGAGUGCAGGAGAGGAAGGUAGAAUUCCCGGUGUAGCGGUGAAAUGCGUAGAGCUCGGGAGGAAUACCAGUGGCGAAGGCGGCCUUCUGGACUGACACUGACGCUGAGGUGCGAAAGCGUGGGUAGCAAACAGGAUUAGAUACCCCAGUAGUC
rnacentral:rRNA from 1 species